rnacentral:lncRNA from 1 species
GAGUUUAUCAGCUAAAUGACUAUUUUCAUACAUGUAUUACAUUUUCUAGACGUAAUGUUUAUUUUCAUUGAAAAUAAGUAGUACUUUUCAUAUUACUAAUUAAAAGGUACAAAAUACUAAGAAAUUUAGAAUUUAAUUUAAUAAAACAAAAUUUUAAUUUUUUUUGAAAUAACUCAUAAAUAAAUAGAUAAAUAUAAAAAAAGUAAAACAAACUAGAUAUUAAAAAAAACAAAAAUUAAAAAUAUUAAAAAAAUUAAAAUAGUAAAAAAAUACAAAGAAUAGUAAAAAAAUAGAAAAGAAAACCAGUAAAAAGAAAAAACUAAAAUAAUGAAAAGAAAAGAAAAAUGUUUAAAAAAAUCAAAAAUAUAAAAUACAAAAAAACUAAAGAAACAGGAAAAGAAAAGAAAAACGUUAAAAAAAAUAAGAACAAAAUCGCAAAGAAGUAAAAAAAAGAACAAAAAGAUAAAAGAAAAAGAAGAACAAAUAGCAGAAAAAUAAGAACAAAAUCGCAAAGAAGUAAAAAAAGAACAAAAAGAUAAAAGAAAAAGAAGAACAAAUAGCAGAAAAUGGGUAAUGGGUUUCAAACCCUACACCUCAAGGAAUAAAGUUAGCAACUAGUUGUUGCC